GGGGAAUAUUGGACAAUGGGCGAAAGCCUGAUCCAGCCAUGCCGCGUGUGUGAAGAAGGUCUUCGGAUUGUAAAGCACUUUAAGUUGGGAGGAAGGGCAGUAAGCUAAUACCUUGCUGUUUUGACGUUACCGACAGAAUAAGCACCGGCUAACUCUGUGCCAGCAGCCGCGGUAAUACAGAGGGUGCAAGCGUUAAUCGGAAUUACUGGGCGUAAAGCGCGCGUAGGUGGUUCGUUAAGUUGGAUGUGAAAGCCCCGGGCUCAACCUGGGAACUGCAUCCAAAACUGGCGAGCUAGAGUACGGUAGAGGGUGGUGGAAUUUCCUGUGUAGCGGUGAAAUGCGUAGAUAUAGGAAGGAACACCAGUGGCGAAGGCGACACCCUGGACCAGCACUGACACUGAGGCACGAAAGCGUGGGGAGCAAA
rnacentral:rRNA from 1 species